AUGAAGAUGGCACUGAUCCUUGGUUUUCUCAAAGGCCGGAAACGCCCCCUUGAGAUGCAGCAGAGACCUUCAUGCAGCACGUGGCAUCAGGCGGCAACCAUGUACCUGCCAUCAACAUCGUACACACGUUGUUACGGUGGAACCACAUCGGCAGACGUCUCAUGGCAAGCUUCACAGUUGCAGGACAACGCUAUUGCAGAUAGAGCACAUCAAAUUGGAGACCAUAUAAGAUCGGCACAUGCGGCACAACAAGGGAGAUCUGAGCGCACGGAGGAUGCGUUCCACCAGCCGGCUAACAAUCAUGCCACAAAUAAUGCCGAGUCAGUGUCGGAAAUGGCAUUCGUUCCAGCAAUGCCGACAAGCACACCUUUGCACACCAGCACAAGCAACACUCAAGCACAUGAAACAGCCUCCGAUACUGAAGUCAAUGAUGAAACUGAUGACGAAGCACAAGGGGAUGAAGAUGGUGGGCAAUCAGAAAUCAUGGUACCUCAGCCACCGUAUGUUGGGCAGAGAUUUGAUUCGUUUGAAGAUGCAAAGGAAUUCUACCAGACAUAUGCAAAGUUCCAUGGGUUUGCGGUCAACACCGAAUACCAUAGGAAAAUUAAAAAAACUAACGAGUACAGUAGAGGUGAGAUGAGGUGCUACAAGGCACGAAGGAGCAAGAAGGGUAAAGGUGUUGCGCCUGUCGUUCCGGAACGAAAGAGAGGUAUCAUUGUCAAGACGGAAUGCCCUGUCCGGUAUAAGCUGAACGUAGAUGGAGCACGGUGGGUGGUCACUGAAUAUUUUGACGAGCACAACCACGAACUCAUAAAGAAGUUUGACCUGGUAAAAUUUCUGACUGCCCAGAGAGGAUUCACACCCCUCGAGAAGAAAUUCAUAAAGCUGCUACAUGAUUGUAACGUUGGUCCAUCAAGAAUGGUCCAGACACUAUCCCUCAUCCACAGCAAAAAUGGGACUCUGAGUAGCAUGCCCUACAUACCAGCAGACGUCACAAACCUAAAGGCAAGAUUCCAGGAAGAAAUAAAGUGUGCCAGCAUGUACACGGCUUUCCAGGUGGACGAACAUAUGUUCAAGGUGUGUUCUAUCUUGGGCAUGUCAGAUUCAGAACCUGAAGACCCAGACAAGGGAAGGAACUACUUUGUAGAGGCCUUGAUAAGCGAAGGCGAAUACUACUGCCAAUGCUGCAAAUUCGAACGGGACGGGAUUGUGUGCUGUCACAUACUGAAAGUAAUGGACAUGAACGCGGUGACACGAAUGCCCCGCCAUUUCAAACGGCGGCGAUGGACUUGGGACGCUGACGACGCAUUGGGGCCGCAAACAUCAAAUGCAGUUUUGGCUGUGCAUGAUGAGAGACCAGAGUCAACCAUGGAUGUCGUGAGGCACGUUGUGUUGACAAAGAACUAUGUUGAACUAAUAGAUGAAGCGUGCAAGAGUGAUGAGACAGCGAGGGUCGCAGAAAAACAUAGGAAGGCCCUGAAAAGAGAGCUUGAUGAGAUCAAGAAGAGGAAAGCUGAGGAAGCCUUACACAGGUUCCCCCGUACCACAAGUGUGCCUUCGUCCACGGGGCCAUCAUCUGAAAACUCGGAGGUAGGAUCUGGAACAGCAAGCACACAAACCCAGGUCAGGAACCUGCCCCGUUCCAUCACAAAGGGGCAUCCAAAAGAGAUAAGAUACAAAUCGGGAUUGGAGAUUCAAGCAAAGCACAAGAAAACAAAGAAAGGGACGGGCCAUCCAUAA
rnacentral:rRNA from 1 species